rnacentral:rRNA from 1 species
UACAUGCAGUCGAACGCCGGACACCUAGUUGCUAGGGAGAAGGAGUGGACUGAUAGGAGCGCGUAGGCAACCUGCCCUCAGGAUGGGGACAACGGCUCGAAAGAGCCGCUAAUACCGAAUGACGUAACUUUCUCACAUGGGAGAGAUACUAAAGAUGGGUCAAACCAUCGCCCGAGGAGGGGCCUGCGUCUGAUUAGCCAGUUGGUGAGGUAACGGCUCACCAAAGCAACGAUCAGUAGCCGGUCUGAGAGGAUGAACGGCCACAAUGGGACUGAGACACGGCCCAUACUCCUACGGGAGGCAGCAGUGGGGAAUCUUCCGCAAUGGGCGCAAGCCUGACGGAGCAACGCCGCGUGAGUGAAGAAGGUCUUCGGAUCGUAAAGCUCUGUUGUCGGGGACGAAAGGGUAGACGAGGUAAUGCGUUUACUAAGACGGUACCCGACGAGGAAGCCACGGCUAACUACGUGCCAGCAGCCGCGGU